rnacentral:tRNA from 1 species
GGUUAAAUCAAAAGACAGAACUAAAACUUCUGGACGCGGGUUCGAUUCCCGCCGCCUCCACCA